ensembl:lncRNA novel transcript
GCUCCUCCUUCACCUUCCGCCAUGAUUGUGAGGCUUCCCCAGCCAUGUGGAAACCCUUGGAAAUCACAUGCUGUCAUUUCUGCGAUCGGUCAUAACCAGUCCUGAUUCCAUGUUAGAGGAGACUACAUAAGGACACAGGUACCAGAAGAUGAAAAAUUUGGAGUCUAGUGAAAAGAAGUGACUUGCUCAAAAUCACACAGCACAUGAAGAACAGAGCCUCUAUGAUGAAUUUCUUGACAGAACUCUCUUUUGGCCUGCUGCCAUUCACGUUAGAUGUGACUUGCUCCUCCUUGCCUCCUGCCAUGAUUGUGAGGCCUCCCAAGCCAUGUGGAACUAUGGGAGUUUACCUGCACAAAACUCUUUUUUUGCCUGCUACCAUCCACGUUAGAUAUGACUUGCUCCUCCUUGCCUUCCAUCAUGAUUGUGAGGCCUGCCCAGACAUGUGGAACUCUGAUAUAAGUCUUUUGAGGUACAGCCUGGCACAAAAAGGAUGAGAUUUGUGGGCAGAAUUUUGGAAGAAUAUCUCCCGAGAGAACAUUCAGGACAGAUUGCACUGCUUUGGAGAGCUGGUGAUGAAAUCCGGCCAUUGAAUUACACUGCACUAUAAACUUCAUUUGUUCUUGGGUGCAUAGUGAUUUGCUAUAAUAAUGAUCAUCCAUUUGCCAGACAGCUGAGAUUUUUUAAAAGCUUGAUUGCUUUUGGCAUGGCAUUAUUAGUCCUGGAAGAAGGCAGCACAUUUGUAGCAAUUCUCAGCUUGAGCAAACUAGAAUAUUCACCUCCCACAAAUGCUGGCCAUUUAAGAUCUGUGUGUUAGACUUUGGCAUUUUUUCUAGCAAUUCUACAACAGCAUACACACUUUUAUUUUUCAUUAACACCAUUGUGAAUAUGCCCAUCUCUAAAAUUUCAAGGGGGUUCACUUAAGCUACUGAGUUUUAUGGACAGAAGGGCCAAGAAAAGUCCCCAAAGAAGAGUGCAUGCUGUCAAUUGCCAAUUAUUUUUUUUUCUAAUGAAAGCCAAACAAUUCCAGACAAACCCUUUUCUAAGAAAUGAACUACAUAUCUGGAUCCAAAUAAAUACUCAUCUGAUAAGAAUCUAAAAGCUCUACUGAAUUACAGUGGAUGAGAACAUGAUGAUGGUGAUUCUUUGAAGAUUACUGAGGAAAUCAACUCUCAUGUCUGAUUCUGAUACUUUUAUAGUCCAUCCAUGUUGAAAAUGUCUAUGGAAUGAUUCUGUUGUACCUUGAGAAAUGAAAUUCAUAGGCAUGGAUUCUCUCACACAGCAACUUUAUACACAAAGAUGAGAAUAGAAGAAAGGUCAUUUCCAAAGAAAGUGACAUUUAUUCUGUAUUCACUGAAAAGCCAAAAGAAUUUUCUCAUUCACCCAUACCGACAGAGCCCUACAUCUCCCCGAGAAGAGGUGAAAGAGACUGCUCCUAUCUGCUUCUGCAUCAAACUUCAGGCUCAAGACCUGUCCAGAAAAAAAAAUGUCUUCUUUCAGGGAUGAACUGCUGUCCUCAUCAGACGCCUUAUUUUGUUUAGAAUUCAAGCUCACUUGACAGGUAUUCUAUACUUUUUUCAAUACAACUAAGCUAAUGCCCA